rnacentral:rRNA from 2 species
GAGCUAGAGGUGUACACUCACCUGCCGAAUCGACUAGCCCUGAAAAUGGAUGGCGCUGAUAGCGACGAGCCUAUGCUCGGCCUUCGGGGCAGGGAGUUUCAUCCCUCUCAUCGAUGCCCCGAAGAGUANGAGGGUCGCCGUGGUGCGCGUCGAAGGUGCGGGCGUGAGCCCGACUGGAGCCGCCACGGGUGCAGAUCUCGGUGGUAGUAGCGAAUAUUCCGACGAGACCUCGGAAGACCGAAGUGGAGAAGGGUUCCAUGUGAACAGCAGUUGAACAUGGGUCAGCCGAUCCUAAGUCAUAGGCGAACGCCAUUCCGAAAGUCGGGACCUUUUUUCUCCGAAACUACGUCCUCGGAAUGAGCAAAAGGGAAUCCGGUCAAUAUUCCGGAGCACAGCUGUCGAGACCACGGGAGUGGUUUCCGCUCCCAUGCGCGGUAACGCGAGCGAUCUGGGGGACGUUGCCGUCAGGCCGGGGAAGAGUUCUCUUUUCUUUGUAAGGACGCAGGCAGCCUGGAAGGGGUUCGCCCCGAGAAAGGGUGCAACAGCGUAUACUCCGCAAAGCUCUGCGGCUCUCGCAGAGUCCCGAGUCCUGUCGUCGACCCUUGAAAACCCCAGGGAGGCAUAUUGGAAUCUGACACUGUGUCGUACCCAUAUCCGCAGCCGGUCUCCAAGGUGAACAGCCUCUGGUCGAUAGAACAAUGUAGGUAAGGGAAGUCGGCAAAAUGGAUCCGUAACUUCGGGACAAGGAUUGGCUCUAACGACCGGGGUAGACGGGUCGGAGUCGCGAAGGUGGGACGGGCUUCUGCGCUGGGAGGGGACAAAGUCGUAGAUGGGUGGCCUCGCGGCUCCCGUCCUCGGCCGAGACCCGUUCUGGCAAAGGGCCUUCUACUGGAUGCACUUCAGCUUUGAGGUCUCGCUCGCUGGUAUUCUUCGCGGGAUCCGGAGUGAGGUUUCUUCGUCUAUCGUUCAACGGUCAAGUUAGAACUGGCACGGACCAGGGGAAUCCGACUGUCUAAUAAAACAAAGCUCGCACUCCGCAG